rnacentral:rRNA from 1 species
UGCAAGUCGAGCGGUAGCACAGGGAGCUUGCUCCUGGGUGACGAGCGGCGGACGGGUGAGUAAUGUCUGGGAAACUGCCUGAUGGAGGGGGAUAACUACUGGAAACGGUAGCUAAUACCGCAUAACGUCUUCGGACCAAAGAGGGGGACCUUCGGGCCUCUUGCCAUCAGAUGUGCCCAGAUGGGAUUAGCUAGUAGGUGAGGUAAUGGCUCACCUAGGCGACGAUCCCUAGCUGGUCUGAGAGGAUGACCAGCCACACUGGAACUGAGACACGGUCCAGACUCCUACGGGAGGCAGCAGUGGGGAAUAUUGCACAAUGGGCGCAAGCCUGAUGCAGCCAUGCCGCGUGUAUGAAGAAGGCCUUCGGGUUGUAAAGUACUUUCAGCGAGGAGGAAGGCAUUGUGGUUAAUAACCGCAGUGAUUGACGUUACUCGCAGAAGAAGCACCGGCUAACUCCGUGCCAGCAGCCGCGGUAAUACGGAGGGUGCAAGCGUUAAUCGGAAUUACUGGGCGUAAAGCGCACGCAGGCGGUCUGUCAAG